rnacentral:rRNA from 1 species
UACACUCCUGCGGGAGGCAGCAGUGGGGAAUAUUGGACAAUGGGCGCAAGCCUGAUCCAGCCAUGCCGCGUGAGUGAUGAAGGCCCUAGGGUUGUAAAGCUCUUUCACCGGAGAAGAUAAUGACGGUAUCCGGAGAAGAAGCCCCGGCUAACUUCGUGCCAGCAGCCGCGGUAAUACGAAGGGGGCUAGCGUUGUUCGGAAUUACUGGGCGUAAAGCGCACGUAGGCGGAUCGAUCAGUCAGGGGUGAAAUCCCAGGGCUCAACCCUGGAACUGCCUUUGAUACUGUCGAUCUGGAGUAUGGAAGAGGUGAGUGGAAUUCCGAGUGUAGAGGUGAAAUUCGUAGAUAUUCGGAGGAACACCAGUGGCGAAGGCGGCUCACUGGUCCAUUACUGACGCUGAGGUGCGAAAGCGUGGGGAGCAAACAGGAUUAGAUACCCCAGUAGUCCCAUGAU